GCUGAGAGGUGAAAACUAACUGAUUAUUAACGAUAUAUAGAGAAUAAGAUGAAGAUUGAGGAGAAGAGUGUUAAGGAGCAAGUAUUUGGGCUGUGAUGGCGAGAACUUGGUGGUGACAAAGCCAACUUGGUGGCUGAGGGACUUAUUGGUGAGGAAUAGGGCAUGAUGAGUGGGUGGAGAAAUGCAAUAGUAGAAGCUUAUAAAGCUAUUGAAGUUGGGGGAAUGUGGGAAAGGGAUUAGGGAUUUUUUACUUAUCCCCAGUCUGAUUUUGUGCUAUAUAUACAUAUAUUACUCGAUUCAGUUUUUGCAGUUUCCUUUAAAAAACCGACCCAAGCUGAAAUAAAACAAUAUUAGAAUAUGAAAUUGCACUAAAUUGUUUAUACUAAAAUCACACUGAUUGAAUUAAAUUGGCUCAGUUCAAUUUGAUUUUUUUUUUCAUAAUCAAAAUUUACACCCAUAUAGAGGAGGGGAAGGAGGAGAAGAUGAAUCAAUGGAAAACUAUAACAAAUUGGCAAAAUAAAAAAAAUUAAAACAAAAAAAGUUGAUAACAAGGUAUUGCGUCUACGUUAAUGGUGAGGAGGCACGGGAGCGAGGACUGUAGGUGAUGAGUAGGGAAAGUGAAGUUUUAAAUACAUACGCGAGGGUGAAAUGAUUUAGAUCAACACAAAGUACAACCUUUAAAGUUGUCCAUGCUCAAUGAGUUCAUCAUAUCAAAUAAAAGAAACACUAUCGGUACUUAGCAAGACGGUAGCUCGGCUCCAUCAAUAUGUAAUUAACCAUGGGCUUAAAACAUGAUAUUGGGGUUAGGAGUUGAACUAUUUUUUAAUACUCUGUAAUUUUUCUCUUAAGAUGAGAGUUUCUUGAGCAAUUCCUUUCUUCUGCUGCUAAAGUCGGAGACCUACGAUCAAUCUCUGCCUAUGAAUAUGGAGGUGAAGAGUUGUCUUUACUUCUGGUCCAGGCCGACGGUUGUUGCAGAACAGUAGCUCGCAGAUCUUUGACUCGUAAAGCGUGAUUGAGAUGCCGAUGAUCGUGCCCUUCUCACCGUUGUCAAUGUCUGUUUCUCAAUCGUUAAGCCUUCCUUCUCUGGUUUGUUGCUAUGCUUCCUUUGGAUGUUGAAUCUGAAUGGUUGGGAUCCCUUUGCUCCUCUCAGUACGCUCUCAGAUUUACUUCUAUUUGUUGGCUCUUGGUGCUUUAGUUUCCUUUCCUUAACCUUUUCGGCUUAGGAGCUUGUCUCACCACCGAAAGUGGCUAAAGGGUGAUUGGCAUGAUCUGAGUUGGGGAGAGUUUUGGAGCUAUGAGGAUCAUGACCUUUCAAGAUUUCCUUUCGAGUCAAAUCGGGAUAUGUUUCUAAGUCUCGUAGGGUUGAGCUUCAUUUGUAUUUCCUUUUUAUUUUUUUGGACCCUAAAAGCUUGUAUAUCGAACUAUCUUUGUAAAGAUUAAACCUUUUAAAUCGACCAAUAAAUUAUAUCUCUUGAUAAAAAAAAAUCUGCGUAAUUAAUAUGAA